UUUUUAGGGAACCUCAGCAUUUGUGCUUUUUCAUCAUGGAUAUUCUUGGGCUCAAUAUUAGAUAACAUUUUGAAUAUUCUUUGUCCUCUUGGCUUUUGAUUAAGAUGUUGAAUAGAUCUUAUUCAAGAAAUGGAGUGCCAUACAGAUUUGUAAACCAUCUCUGAGUAGUAAAUAUGAAGAGCAGAACUAGUAGACUUAAAACAAGGCAACACAUGGUCAAGUUUAUUCUCAAUAGAAAUUCCUACUUGAAGCACAAAUAUUUCAAAACUAUAAAACAGAUAUUGCCUUACAAGUAUAGUGGAUUAUUAGAUGCCAUUUAUUUUUUUAAAUGCUCAGCUACCUGAUAUCUGGUUGAAUUUAAAUGAUAAUAAUUGCCUCUUAAUGUGUUAUUAUAAGAUUAUUUAUUUAGCUUGUAGUUUUUUUUUAAUCAGUUCAAGAUGUUGAAUAUUGAUUACUAAUCAACUACUAGCCUGGGAGAUAAAAGCUAAAGCUGUAAACAGACAGGCCAGGUAAAUAUAUGAAUGAAGAAAUUGAAACUAGAAGUAAACAUCAUGGGAAGUCUAAUUUAGGGCAAGUAUUUUUCCUUCAUAUCUUAUUUAACAUAGUCAAACUAUGUAAUACUUAUAGGCUUAACUAUUGUUUCCAUAGAAGCAACGUUAUUUUAAAUAUCAUGAGAAGUUUCCAUAUUUCAUCAGCUUAACAAGCGCACAUUCUCUGCUGCCAACAGUACCAAUUAGUCAUCCAAGCAACAAAUAUUCCUUGGUAAUCUGCUAUCAGAUGACAGUUUUCUCUUGGGGAUUUUUAUGAAUUAAAGCUUUCAAGGCCAAAGUAAGACUUAAUUUUUUUCUUUUCUUUAACUGCUAAUUCUAAAAUAAUUUAUCAUUGCAUGUUAGAAAUAUUAACUUUUUAUACAUAUUUCUGUGUUUUGGUCAAACUUCAGAUUUGCUUAGCAUAUUCCUGUACUGCAUAUCAACAAAUGUUAGAUGGUUUGUCUGGUUCAUCUCUUAACACUAUGAAGAUAACUACACUAAGCUUAACAAGCAAACAUUCUGUUGCCAACAGUACCCAUUUGUCAUCCUAUCCAAGCAACUAAUAUUCCUUGGUAUUCUGCUAUCAGAUGAUUACAGUUUUCUCUUUGGCAUUUUUAUGAAUUAAAGCUUUCAAAGC